rnacentral:rRNA from 1 species
ACUAAAUAGAUACCCGGGUAGUCCACGCCGUAAACGAUGAUUACUCGCUGUUGGCGAUACACUGUCAGCGGCUAAAGCAAAAAAAGCAAUAAGUAAUCCACCUGGGGAGUACGGCCGCAAGGUUGAAACUCAAAGGAAUUGACGGGGGCCCGCACAAGCGGAGGAACAUGUGGUUUAAUUCGAUGAUACGCGAGGAACCUUACCUGGGCUUAAAUGUAGAGUGCAUUUUCUAGAGAUAGGAAUUCCCUUCGGGGCUUUCUGCAAGGUGCUGCAUGGUUGUCGUCAGCUCGUGCCGUGAGGUGUCGGG